rnacentral:rRNA from 1 species
ACGAUGCGAUAGUAUGUGAUUGCAGAAUUCAGUGAAUCAUCGAGUCUUUGAACGCACAUUGCGCCCCCUGGUAUUCCGGGGGGCAUGCCUGUCCGAGCGUCAUUGCUGCCCUCAAGCACGGCUUGUGUGUUGGGCCCCCGUCCCCGGUUCUCCCCGGGGACGGGCCCGAAAGGCAGCGGCGGCACCGCGUCCGAUCCUCGAGCGUAUGGGGCUUUGUCACCCGCUCUGUAGGCCCGGCCGGCGCCAGCCGACACCCCAACUUUAUUUUUCUAAGGUUGACCUCGGAUCAGUAGGGAUACCCGCUGAACUUAAGCAUAUCAAUAAGCGGAGGAA